rnacentral:rRNA from 1 species
GGGCUUGCGUCUGAUUAGCUAGUUGAUAGGGUAAUGGCCUACCAAGGCGAUGAUCAGUAGCUGGUCUGAGAGGACAAGCAGCCAGACGGGGACUGAGACACGGCCCUGACUCCUACGGGAGGCAGCAGCAAGGAAUUUUGCGCAAUGGGCGAAAGCCUGACGCAGCGACGCCGCGUGGGGGAUGAAGGCCCUCGGGUUGUAAACCCCUUUUCUCGGGGAAGUGACGGUACUCGAGGAAUAAGUCUUGGCUAACUACGUGCCAGCAGCCGCGGUAAUACGUAGAAGGCGAACGUUAUUCGGAUUUACUGGGCGUAAAGCGGGGGUAGACGGUCCCUUAAGUCGGGUGUGAAAUCUCCUGACUCAAUCAGGAGAGGUUAUUCGAUACUGAGGAGCUUGAGGGCAGCAGAGGAAGGCGGAACUCCCGGUGUAGCGGUGAUAUGCGUAGAU